rnacentral:rRNA from 1 species
UUGAACGCUGGCGGCAUGCUUUACACAUGCAAGUCGAACGGCAGCGGGCCCUUCGGGGUGCCGGCGAGUGGCGAACGGGUGAGUAAUACAUCGGAACGUGUCCUAUAGUGGGGGAUAACCCAGCGAAAGUUGGGCUAAUACCGCAUACGUCCUACGGGAGAAAGCGGGGGAUCGCAAGACCUCGCGCUAGUGGAGCGGCCGAUGUCGGAUUAGCUAGUUGGUGGGGUAAAGGCCUACCAAGGCGACGAUCCGUAGCUGGUCUGAGAGGAUGAUCAGCCACACUGGGACUGAGACACGGCCCAGACUCCUACGGGAGGCAGCAGUGGGGAAUUUUGGACAAUGGGCGCAAGCCUGAUCCAGCCAUGCCGCGUGAGUGAAGAAGGCCUUCGGGUUGUAAAGCUCUUUCAGACGGAAAGAAAUCGGGCGCGUGAAUAGCGUGCCUGGAUGACGGUACUGUCAGAAGAAGCACCGGCUAACUACG